GAUGAACGCUGGCGGCGUGCUUAACACAUGCAAGUCGAACGAUGAAGCCCAGCUUGCUGGGUGGAUUAGUGGCGAACGGGUGAGUAACACGUGAGUAACCUGCCCUUAACUCUGGGAUAAGCCUGGGAAACUGGGUCUAAUACCGGAUAGGAGCGUCCACCGCAUGGUGGGUGUUGGAAAGAUUUAUCGGUUUUGGAUGGACUCGCGGCCUAUCAGCUUGUUGGUGAGGUAAUGGCUCACCAAGGCGACGACGGGUAGCCGGCCUGAGAGGGUGACCGGCCACACUGGGACUGAGACACGGCCCAGACUCCUACGGGAGGCAGCAGUGGGGAAUAUUGCACAAUGGGCGCAAGCCUGAUGCAGCGACGCCGCGUGGGGGAUGACGGCCUUCGGGUUGUAAACUCCUUUCGUCAGGGACGAAGCGAAAGUGACGGUACCUGGAUAAGAAGCACCGGCUAACUACGUG
rnacentral:rRNA from 1 species